AGCAGAGUCCUAGAUACAGAGAUCACCAAGAGUCCAUACUCUUUUUCACCACUACCGUCUCUCUCUUUCUAUCUUUGUGUCUCUGCGUUCUUUGACACUGACGACGUAAGCGAUUUCAGCUAUUUUCAGCGAAUUGAAGAAAUGUCAGAGGUCCAAAAGGGUUUUAUGGGUUUUAUUCUCCCAGCAUUGAGCAAUUUCGUUUCGAUGGCAUCAGCAACCACCUAGACCUCCACGCAAAGGGUUUCAAUUCCUAUGCUCCAUUUUCUUCCAUCAGAUAUGAGAGUUUUUAAUGGACUUUGCAAAACUAAGGUCAGGUCCUUCGGUCAAGGAAUUGCAGCAGGUACACUCAUAACUUGGCGCCUAUCAACAGUAAAUAUAUGUUUGUGCACUACAUUGACUAACUUAUUUCCAUGGCUAGUUUGGUACCGUGGUUCUUGACUUAUUUCAUGAGUUAUUUGUUUUAUAAAUAUUUUUUUUUCUUUUAUUUGUUUAUUUAUUUUUAAUAUAAGCUUCCCAUCUUUCUUUUCUGCAAAAGAUUCAGGAUAUUUCUCAAGAGUUAUUUUAUUUACAUAAGAUUCUUAACUUAAAAUUAUUAAUUGGGAUUCCAAAGCCAGCAAUGUCUUGUUAGAUGAGUGGAUUUCUGGUUUGCUUUGUAAGUUGGAAGAAAUUUCUCUAUUUGUAUAUGCUUCACCCAGAUUGUUUUCCAAGAAGAAAAAGACUCAUUACAAGUUGGAAGUAUUGGAGUUUCCAAAACUUGACAAAUCUUCCAAGUCAUGCAUGGAAACAUUGGAGGAAUGAAACAAGUUUGGACCUAAUGGACCUAAUAAAGGGGGGUCAAUGGCUAGACAUGAAGCAAAGUCAUUCGAGAAGAAAAAUAAUG